GUGGUACUUAGCAGCAGAAACACCCUGUCGAGGUUCCUGAUCCUGGCAGCCGUGGGGUUUCAGUGUUCAGAUGGAUGAGCAUGGGAAAACAUAGGAAGAAUACGUGUGUGGGGUGGUUGCGCCUAUUAUCUAUGCAUAGGCAGUGUUGUGUGUAUCAUCUGUGUUUGUUUAGCAGAAGUAAGAUGGGCAUUAAUAUUCUGUUUCAGUCUUAAUUAGUGGCUGAUAAAAGCACAGGUGAUAGUUAACAGUCUUGACAGAGUAAUUUAUCUAAAAUUUCCUAAUAAUACGGUUACUGCAGUCUCAGAAGGGCUGCUUUAAUGACUUUCACACACUCAAGAUUUGAUACCAACAAUAUCCAAUAUGUUGGUUGCUUAGGAGACAAAAUUAAACAAAGCCUAACACAUUUAUUUCUCCCCUUCUUUACUGCGCUGAGGAUUAUCCCACUGCCAUAUUUUUCUCUAUUAAAUGUCUAAGCUUUAGGUGUUUAUAAGAAAGAAAAAAAGUCCCUAACAGUCCAGAUCCCCUAUUAAAUCAGCAGAUGGUUCCUAGAGCCAAAUUAGAGACCUGUGAUAGAACAAUAAAGUCUCUGCUUUCAACAGUGCACGUGUUCAGAGUUGGCAGUGUUAAAUGAGACCUCCGUGCAAUCUGCUCUGAGAAAUAGCCUCACUGGCAUUGACCUCUUCCUUUGUAUAAUUCAACACCGUGUCAUCCAUCGCGACUGCACAGACGUCUUUGCAAUUUAGCAGACCUUGUAUGGACUGACUUUCCCAAUAUUUGUUUAAGGUGAACUGUAUAAACGUGUUAUUAGUAGUCUGCCAGAGUAAGGGAGAUAAGAGUGUUUGCGUUGUGCUUCGUGCAGUGCAGCACCUGGGCAAGGUGCACCCAGCACGCUCCUAGCAAAUGUUCCUGUUGUUUCAGGGGCUGCUUCCCAUCCUGCUGAACACAAAAGUCAACCCCCCCCUCCUGGCUCAGGUCAGGGGUGUGUCUGGCCUGGGUUGUGUGGGGGCUCUGAGCUUUGCCUGGAAGUUGGAACUGCAUUCCUCGCAUCCCUCUCAAUUAUGCUUAUGAAUAAUUUGCUUAUGAUAUUUUAGGAUGCUUGCAGGGUAUAAGAAAUUCAUCUUUGUGUCUGGUUUUUGUGGAUGGUAUUCUCCAUUUCCUGACACAGAGCAGUUUGCGCUGGGUGCACGUUGCCUUGUCUCCUUGUCUUUAUAUCCCUGCUGAAAUGUUUCAGGUGGUGAAGCAGAAACAAAACUGUGUUGCAAAACUGCACAUCUCAAAUUGUGUGCUGCUGAAAUGGAUGUUUUAGUGAACUGCCCAAAGUCUGGAAAUGAUUCAUGCUGACUGUUUGGGAAAUACUUUCAAAUAAUGAAUAAAUUUGCAGGAAUCAUGGGUGGCUCAUGAAAGAUUAAUGAUAGAAGAGGAGGCCUCUUUUUUCCUCCUUAAGCUUCAGUGUCAGGUUUUCAGUUUGUACUUCUCUUGCUUUUGAAGUUACUGCAACAAUGCUGAUUCAUUUGAGAGGAGGAUUAGGCUCAGAAUACUUUUAGGGAGUAUGUUACACUUAAGUGUGUGGAACAAGGUGCAAAGCCACCUGGUAGUUCUCCUGGAAAAUAUUACUUAUCUUCUGAUUUCCAAUUUUUGCUUUGGCUUUAAUUUACCUUCACAUUUUCUUUGCAGUGAUAAAUUAAGACUAUGGUAUCACUAGAAAUUAUUUCC
rnacentral:lncRNA from 1 species